rnacentral:rRNA from 1 species
GACGAACGCUGGCGGCGUGCUUAACACAUGCAAGUCGAACGGUAAGGCCCUUCGGGGUACACGAGUGGCGAACGGGUGAGUAACACGUGGGUGAUCUGCCUUGCACUUCGGGAUAAGCCUGGGAAACUGGGUCUAAUACCGGAUAGGACUCCGGACUGCAUGGUCUGGGGUGGAAAGCUUUUGCGGUGUGGGAUGGGCCCGCGGCCUAUCAGCUUGUUGGUGGGGUGAUGGCCUACCAAGGCGACGACGGGUAGACGGCCUGAGAGGGUGACCGGCCACACUGGGACUGAGAUACGGCCCAGGCUCGUACGGGAGGCAGCAGUGGGGAAUAUUGCACAAUGGGCGCAAGCCUGAUGCAUCGACGCCGCGUGAGGGAUGACGGCCUUCGGGUUGUAAACCUCUUUCAGCAUCGACGAAGCGAAAGUGACGGUAGGUGCAGAAGAAGGACCGGCCAACUACGUGCCAGCCGCCGCGGUAA